rnacentral:rRNA from 1 species
GAUUGAACGCUGGCGGCAGGCCUAACACAUGCAAGUCGAACGGUAACAGGAAGAAGCUUGCUUCUUUGCUGACGAGUGGCGGACGGGUGAGUAAUGUCUGGGAAACUGCCUGAUGGAGGGGGAUAACUACUGGAAACGGUAGCUAAUACCGCAUAAUGUCGCAAGACCAAAGAGGGGGACCUUCGGGCCUCUUGCCAUCGGAUGUGCCCAGAUGGGAUUAGCUAGUAGGUGGGGUAACGGCUCACCUAGGCGACGAUCCCUAGCUGGUCUGAGAGGAUGACCAGCCACACUGGAACUGAGACACGGUCCAGACUCCUACGGGAGGCAGCAGUGGGGAAUAUUGCACAAUGGGCGCAAGCCUGAUGCAGCUAUGCCGCGUGUAUGAAGAAGGCCUUCGGGUUGUAAAGUACUUUCAGCGGGGAGGAAGGGAGUAAAGUUAAUACCUUUGCUCAUUGACGUUACCCGCAGAAGAAGCACCGGCUAACUCCGUG